ACUGAAGGCCCGAGCGUUAAUCGGAAUCACUGGGCUUAAAGCGUACGCAGGCGGACUUGUAGGUAUUUUGUGAAAUCCCACGGCUUAACCGUGGAACUGCAGAGUAAACCACAAGUCUUGAGACAUGUAGGGGUCAGUGGAACCAUGAGUGGAGCGGUGAAAUGCGUAGAUAUUCAUGGGAACGCCAAUGGCGAAGGCAGCUGACUGGGCAUGUUCUGACGCUCAGGUACGAAAGCGUGGGUAGCGAACGGG
rnacentral:rRNA from 1 species